CCUACGGGAGGCAGCAGUGGGGAAUAUUGCACAAUGGGCGCAAGCCUGAUGCAGCGACGCCGCGUGAGGGAUGACGGCCUUCGGGUUGUAAACCUACUUCCAGUAGGGAAGAAGCGAAAGUGACGGUACCUGCAGAAGAAGCGCCGGCUAACUACGUGCCAGCAGCCGCGGUAAUACGUAGGGCGCAAGCGUUAUCCGGAAUUAUUGGGCGUAAAGAGCUCGUAGGCGGUUUGUCGCGUCUGCCGUGAAAGUCCGGGGCUCAACUCCGGAUCUGCGGUGGGUACGGGCAGACUAGAGUGAUGUAGGGGAGACUGGAAUUCCUGGUGUAGCGGUGAAAUGCGCAGAUAUCAGGAGGAACACCGAUGGCGAAGGCAGGUCUCUGGGCAUUAACUGACGCUGAGGAGCGAAAGCAUGGGGAGCGAACAGGAUUAGAUACCCUGGUAGUCCAUGCCGUAAACGUUGGGCACUAGGUGUGGGGGACAUUCCACGUUUUCCGCGCCGUAGCUAACGCAUUAAGUGCCCCGCCUGGGGNGUACGGCCGCAAGGCUAAACCUUAAGGAAUUGACGGCUGACGUGCGACGNGACACGACGGGAGAGG
rnacentral:rRNA from 1 species